UACGGAGGGUGCAAGCGUUAAUCGGAAUUACUGGGCGUAAAGCGUGCGCAGGCGGUUUGUUAAGUCUGUUGUGAAAUCCCCGAGCUCAACUUGGGAAUUGCAAUGGAUACUGGCAGGCUGGAGUAUGGUAGAGGAAGGUGGAAUUCCCGGUGUAGCAGUGAAAUGCGUAGAGAUCGGGAGGAACACCGAUGGCGAAGGCAGCCCCCUGGGUUAACACUGACGCUCAGGCACGAAAGCGUGGGGAGCAAACAGG
rnacentral:rRNA from 1 species